CCCCUCUCAGGGUCACACCUGGAGAGUUUCCAGUACUCUACCAGGCUACUGGAGGGAGAGUGAAGCAGAGGUGUACCCAUUCCAUUCCUAGCUUGGCCAGUGGCUAGUGAGUGGAAGGCAAUCUGCUACAGGU